rnacentral:lncRNA from 1 species
CUUGCUAUGUAGCCCAGGAUGGCCUCAAACUUGUGAUAAUUCUUCUGCCUCAGCCUCCUAGGUGCUGGGAUUACAGGUGUGCACCACCACACGGAGCUGCUUUAUUUCCUUCUUUUAAAAAAGAUGUUUCUUUUCUUUCUUUCUCUCUUUCUUUCUUUGAGGCAGGAUCUUGCUAUGUAGCCCCGGCUGUCUUCAAACUCAUAGCAAUCCUUCUUCUUCAGUCUCCCGGGUGCUGGAAUUACAGGUGUGCACCACCAUGCCUGGCCCUGUUUUCCUUUUAGAGUCAUAUGCUUUUUGUGCUUCUGAUCACAAAGAGAUCAGUAGUGUAAUCGUAGUAUGGAUUAUUUGGAAAAUGAAGAAGAGAAAAAAAUCUAGUAUUUCACCACCCAGAGACAAAGACAUUGUUCAGUGGAAAUGCAAAAUUAGGCUUUGACCUUUUCAGAGCUGGGAAAGGACCCAGAAUCCUCUGGUCCAGCUCCAUGGCCCUGGGAGGGCACGAGUCCAGAUAGGCCCAAGGUCACCAGCCAGGCAGACAAUGUGGUCCUGGUGGGCCCACUGCUGCAUCCCAAAUUCUGCACACCAUCCAGCCUCUGGCUGCAGCACCUUUAUCUCCGGCCCUCAGCGCUGCGUCCUGUUCCCUUCCUGGGCUUCAGCCGGGAGGACAGUGGGAGGUUGGGUGAGAGCUGAUGAAGCUGCAGAUUCCUCUUGCCUGGGAACAAAGGGCUGUUCUGCAAGGCGCAGAGGAGCGCGGAGAGCAUUUGUCUUCUCUCCCUUAAACAAGCAAGAAAAUGUCCUCGAGGAGAGGGAAGGCUUUCCAAGGAUGAUGACCACCUGGACCAGCUGCCACAGGGAAAUGGUUCAGCUUUUCCACCUGGUGUGAGCCAAGGCCCCUCUUGCAUCUUCUCUGCUCUCCUGACCCCAAGCGGAAGCACCAGGCAAGCAUGUGCGGCACCAGGGAGAAGACCAGGGACACAGGAGGCCUUCAGACUUGGACAGGACGUCCUGUUCUCAAAGGCCCCAGCAAGGCCCCUGAGGCUGGUGAGAGGUGGAGAUGAGGACAGGAAUGUGAUGUAAGCAGCCAUGAAGCUGAGGCCCAUGCCAGGGCCUCCCUUUCGCAAGACACGCGUCACACCGCCCAGUCCGGGACUCUCCACAGCCGCUGGGAGUGUGGCCGGGCACGUCCUAACUCAUCCGCCUGAUUUUACGUGAGCUGGAGAGGGGUGGGCUGGGUAGACUGAGAAGUCAGGAGGGAAAUGCGCACAGUUCCCUGAGUGGGUAAAAGAUGUUGAAUAGUUCACAGAAGGAGAAAUUUAUAACAUAGUAAAAAAAAGAAAAAGCAAUCUCUGGACUUGUCACAAAAACUAGUGCAGGAAGCGGUAUCCCAGGCUUCUGUGCUUUGUCCAUUCAUUCACAAAGAUCCAGUGCUCUUUCUUGAGGAAAUUUUAGUAUUUAAUGCCGAAUGGAGGGGAGCUCACUUCUGCCACAACUGUGUGGGGUCCUAUUUUCCAAUCCCAUCACUUGCUGCCGGCAGGUGUCUAGAAAGGCCGAAUCUCAGUGGGACAAGCAGGUUGUAAACGCAGCCACUCUGUGAAUAGAUAACUUUUUCAGCUUUUUAAGGACCAGGGACGUCAUACAGCAUUUUACAGCCUUCACUGACAUAGCCUCUGGCACAGCACCAGAGAGAGCUUUCGGUCAAGUGCUGUAAACACGGUUGGCUCCGGGUCAUGUGUGAUGUGUUCACCUUGUGCCCUGGAAGAAAUGUGAGGAAAGCAAGUGGCAGAAAUGUUCUUACGGAGACUCAGCCUCAGUCAAAUGCUUACCCUUCCCCCUACGCUCUCAUCGCCUCUGACCACGGGGAGGUAAUUCUAUGCUUAAAAAAAGUCACGGCUUCGUUGGGAUCACAGGAUUCCCGCAACAGAAGCAUCAAGGCUUCAGCGUUUCACGGUUCACACAGCUCACGACUGAUGAAGUUGCGCAUCAGUCGCCAUUGCCUCCAGCACACCUAUUUUUGGGUACAGUUCUGUAUAUCUUGUUGAAAGAGCCUCAGUGUCUUCUUUUGUGCUGUACACCUUGUUUAUACAGUACUGUAAUUCUUGCUGGUCGUACUGUACACUACAGUGCUGUAGUUUUAUGUUCUGCUAUGCAUUACAGUGCUGCAGGUAAGAGUCACGCAAAUACAAGCAAAG